UACGUAGGGUGCAAGCGUUAAUCGGAAUUACUGGGCGUAAAGCGUGCGCAGGCGGUGAUGUAAGACCGAUGUGAAAUCCCCGGGCUUAACCUGGGAACUGCAUUGGUGACUGCAUUGCUCGAGUAUGGCAGAGGGGGGUGGAAUUCCACGUGUAGCAGUGAAAUGCGUAGAGAUGUGGAGGAACACCGAUGGCGAAGGCAGCCCCCUGGGCCAAUACUGGACGCUCAUGCACGAAAGGCGUGGGGAGCAAACAGG
rnacentral:rRNA from 1 species